UCUGCUGUGCCCGGGGCACAGCAGACGAAAGGUGCCCGAAAUGUCUACGUUCACCCAUGACGUCACGUCCGCUAUAACCCAUGAUGUCACAUCCGCUCAUUUCCAUGGCGGCCGUCUUACGGAGCCGGCUGCGCUGCGAAACGGUCCGUAUUCCGUGCCCACUUAGAGCGUGAGUAAUUCAUCUUUCCACGCUAUAUGCGUGUAAUAAAGGAUUGGGGCUGUGAGCAGUUUGAUGCGUUACCAUUAGGUACCUUGUGCGCAUAUUUUGCCUCCUGGCCGCGUCAAAUUGCAGCCGGCAUGUGGAAUGGGCCGUGGCAUCUUAUAUGGAGCUGCUCAUACUGAACAUCCCACGUCUUGGUUUGACUUCCUGGUACAGAAUACUUGCACUUAGCAUGGAGUGAUGAAGCAGAGCAGUGUACUUUUAUUAAAUGUGCAGAUUUUAGCAGUAUAACAGCCGUUCAUUAAAAAAACAUGUGUGCUGAAAAUAAAGUGUUCUUACCCACA